GUUAUGCUCUACAAGUAGCCGUAGACAGUAGGUGCCGUAAGGCUUAAAUUUUAGCCUACCGAGGUUGUUAGGGAGUUCAAGGAUGUUGAUCCUGGCCCUCUGCAGUCUGCGGAGGGCCUUAUUUUUUUGUAA
rnacentral:sRNA from 1 species